AUGCAGUGUAGAAACUGUAAAUACAAUUGUGCCAGUCAAAAUCUGCUGCUGAGGCACUACAGGCUAAAGCACUGGCGCCCAGGCCGACGUGAACCAUUGUUGUGCCUGUACCCUGAGUGUGUCUGCUCUUUCAAUACACCAGGUGCGUUGAAAACUCAUUUAUAUAGGGUCCACACAAAUUCUGAUAAAACAACGGUGCAAGCUACAUUUAACUGUGACCUAUGUGAUUAUCACAAUGUUUGUACUGAAAAAAACUUUAUCAGACAUCUGGGUACACAUUUGAAAAGGCAUGAGACAGUGCAUUGCCCAUUUUUGCACUGUAAUUUUAAAACUAAUGUCUAUGUAACAUUUUAUAGCCACAAGUCCAAACAUCACCAAAAAUGCAAAUUAAGUGAUUAUAGGUCAUCGGUUGUAACUGUCAAUCGCACAGACUCUGAUAAUUUGAUGGAUUCUGCUUCAGAAUGCUUUGAGGAUACAUCAGAUGACAAAGAUAUACAUGUAGAAGCUGCUGAUGUUGAAGAUAUUGACAAAAUUCUUGAGAAGAAGUUAGCUUCUUUGUUCCUUUGUAUGCAGACAGAACUAGGUGUAUCUAGAAGUGCUACACAUCACAUUUUUCAAAGUCUGAAUGAAAUACUAUACCUGUCUAAACCAUCCACAGAAAAGGUGAUUACAGAUAUUUUAUCCCACCACAACUGUGAAGUUGACCAAUCUUUAAUCACAGAAAUCAACGAAGCUGUUCACAGAACAAAUCCUCUUUAUGCUACCACUAAUAAAGGAACAUUAUCAACUGAUCAUAAACGCAAAGUAUAUUACAAACAAAACUUUGAUGUCAUUGAACCAGUUGAGUUUGUAUUCAGCAGACAAAAAAAUAAAUCAUUUGUUUAUGUUCCUAUUCUUGAAGUUUUGAAAAAGUUUCUAGGCCAUAAUGAGACAGUGCAAAAAACCUUUUCUAAUGCUACCACAAAUGGCUUCUAUGCAUCUUGUUUUGAUGGCCAGCAUUUCAAAGAGCAUCCUCUGCUUUGUGAUAAGAAUGUAGCUAUUGCACUUGGUCUAUAUAUUGAUGACUUUGAAGUUGCUAAUCCUUUGGGAACGUCACGUAAAAAGCACAAGAUUACAGCAGUCUACUGGGUGAUCUUGAACUGGCCCUCCCAAUUCAGAGCAAAUUUGCACGCUAUUCAACUAGCCUUGUUGGGGAAGAGUAAUGACGUAAGAGAAUUUGGCUAUGACAUAUUUUUUGAGCCAUUAAUGAAGGAUGUGCAGACACUUGAAAGAGAGGGUUUGUAUGUAGAUCAGUUUGGGGAAAAUAUCAAAGGAACUGUCUUUACUGUCUCUGCAGACAAUCUAGGGGCACAUGGCCUAGCAGGAUUUCAGGAAAGUUUUUGUGUUGAGAAGUUCUGUAGGUUUUGUCUUGCUUCUAUCAAGGACAUACAGACCACUGAUGUGAGCAAGGGACUUUUUCCCUUAAGAAGUAUAGAACAACACAACCAAUUUAUUAAGGAGCUGAAAGCAACCCCAACUUUGACAAAUGUACAAGGUGUAAAAGGAGAAUGUGUCUUACAAACUCAUCUUGCUUGCUUUCACCCAGUAACCGGAUUUCCUCCAGAUGCAUUGCACGAUUUGUUUGAAGGAAUUGUGCCGUACGAGUUGUCUUUGUGUCUCCAGAAGCUAAUAGCUGAUAAGUUCUUUACCCUUGACCAGUUGAACAGUGUCAUUCAGUCUUUCCCUUACUGUUUCUCUGACAAGGUGAACCGCCCUCAAAAAAUACCCAAAACUUUCUUCUCGAAAAAAACUAUUGGUGGAAAUGGACACGAAAAUUGGACCCUCAUUAGGCUCAUACCACUCAUGAUUGGCAAAAGUAUUCCAGAAACUGAGAAGGCAUGGCAACUGUUGAUGGAUCUUAAAGAUAUAGUGGAGCUUGUUGUUUCACCCAGGUUUUCAGAGGACAGUCUUUGCUACCUGGAGACUAAAAUAUCUGACCAUCGCAACCUUUUUACUGAAGUGUUUCCAAAUGAAAAAUUGAAACCAAAACACCAUUUUCUGGAACACUACCCAAGCCUCAUACGCCAUUUUGGUCCUUGUGUGGAGUUCUGGACAAUGCGCUUUGAGGCAAAACACAGUUUCUUCAAGCGUGUUGUCCAUAACGUGCACAAUUUCAAAAACAUAUUGCAGACAUUGUCCACCCAGCACCAACUUAUGGUUGCACAUGUCAUGCAGUCUCCCAGCUUUUUCAAACAAUCCAUUCAUGUUGACAAAGUAAAAGUUGUGAAGGUGUCCUCUCUAGAAAGAAAGGUGAAAACAGCUGUUGAGAAAAAAAUAUGCUCACCUUAA
ensembl:lncRNA